UUAAGUUCAGCGGGUAUUCCUACCUGAUUCGAGGUCAACUGUAAAAAAAAGUUGGUGCGUUUUACGGCAGUGGCCGCGCCGCGCUCCAGCUGCGAGAUGUGUGCUACUACGCAGAGGGAGGCCGCGACGGGGCCGCCAAUUCAUUUCGGGGGCGGCCGGGCGCGCCUGCCGCGGAAGCAGCAGGGCACCGGUGGCCGGUC
rnacentral:misc_RNA from 1 species